rnacentral:misc_RNA from 1 species
CUGCCAUCUGAUCUUGGUGGGAAAGCAUUUUUGAACUCGUGUCCUAAACCAAUUGCUGGUGAAGUUCCCCAUUGGAAGAUGUAUGAAUAGGGUUUUUCUUCCUUUCUAUCAUUUUCAUGGUAAUGCUCAGGGCAAAAUUUUUGCUCCAUACUGGUCCAUGGAGGAUUUGGCUGAAAGGCGAUGCAUUUAAAGCAUUAUUUCGUGGAAAUGCUCACAAUAGACUUGAGACAUACUGCAAGACUGAGGAAGUUUUGAUGGAUGUUCUUAUUUGGGGAAUUGCUGCACAGAACAGAGUUCCUCUUAGGUUUCAUGGAUGGUGCCAUCAACUGAUUUCAUAAGACACCUAUCACGAGGAAAAGAUGCACUAAGAAAGUUUCAUUUUGAUUACCAAUACCGCUACAACUAGGUUUGUUGAGAGAGGAACCAUCAGAGUUCUAUUACAAGAAGCUAAGGGGAGGAGGUGGCGAACCAAAGUGAGGAAGUGCACCUCAUACCUCGGAUCAGAGUUCAUAGGGUAAAAGGGGUCAAUCAAGGUACCUGCUGUUAGCAACAAACUUGUUGAUAUCCCUUCUGAUGAUUAUUCGCGGAGGAAGUAUUUACAACAGAUAAUCAAGGGUUCUCCUCAUCCAAGGCACAUCAUCAAAUGCAGCCAUGUGAUCUUUAAUUGCAAGUUCUGAAGCUCUAAUUUCCCAUGGAAUAACUCCUGACUGAGCUUGAAUUGCAUGGAACAGUUCUGCAUUAUCAGUUUCAAGAACAAAAGAAAGGGCAGUUUGGAUCUGUGUUGAAGCACUUUUCACAAGUUCUUUUCUUUUCAAAGUUCUCUUCAUUGAAGAUUUGAUAUAUUAAAGGCAUAAGUUGAUACUCGCAUUUGCCUGAUUUGUUGAUAUUAUGGCAAUGAAAUCUGUCGUCUGACUCAUUUUCGUUUAUUCUUUAUUUUGCAUGCAAAUAUAAUCUUUUGUUAACAAUCAAGCUGUAAUUGCAGACAAUGACUGACAAAAAAAAGCUAGGUCAUAUGAUAA